GGUGGCUCAGUGGUAGAAUGCUUGCCUUGCAUGCAUGAAGCCCUGGGUUCGAUUCUCAGCACCA
rnacentral:tRNA from 1 species